UACAGAGGUCCCAAGCGUUGUUCGGAUUCAUUGGGCGUAAAGGGUGCGUAGGUGGCGGGGUAAGUUGGAUGUGAAAUCCCGGGGCUCAACCCCGGAACUGCAUUCAAUACUGCUCUGCUAGAGUACUGGAGAGGAGAUUGGAAUUCAUGGUGUAGCAGUGAAAUGCGUAGAUAUCAUGAGGAAGACCAGUGGCGAAGGCGGAUCUCUGGACAGUUACUGACACUGAGGCACGAAGGCCAGGGGAGCAAACGGG
rnacentral:rRNA from 1 species